GCUGGGUGCAGUGGCACGUGCCUGUAGUCCCAGCUACUCGGGAGGUUGAGGUGGGAGGAUUGCUUGAGCCCAGGAGUUCUGAGCUGUAGUGCGCUAUGCUGAUCAGGUGUCCGCACUAAGUUCAGCAUCAAUAUGGUGACCUCCUGAGAGCGGUGGGCCACCAGGUUACCUAAGGAGGGGUGAACCGGCCCAGGUUGGAAACAGAGCAGGUCAAAACUCCCGUGCUGAUCAGUAGUGGGAUCGCACCUGUGAAUAGCAACUGAACUCCAGCCUGGGCAACAUAGCGAGACCCUGUCUCU
rnacentral:SRP_RNA from 1 species